AGUAAUACGUGAGCAAGUUGCCCAAAAGCCCGGGAUAGCCGGCCGAAAGGCCGAGUAAUACCGGAUGUGACCACUCUUUGGCAUCAGGGAGUGAUUAAAUGGUUUUUCGCUUUUGGAGACGCUCACGGCCUAUCAGGUAGUUGGUGAGGUAAAGGCUCACCAAGCCGACGACGGGUAGCGGGUCUGAGAGGAUGAUCCGCUCGAGUGGGACUGAGACACGGCCCACACACCUACGGGUGGCAGCAGUUGGGAAUCUUGCACAAUGGGGGAAACCCUGAUGCAGCGACGCCGCGUGGAGGACGAAGGGUCUAGGCCUGUAAACUCCUUUUUUCGGGAAAGACUUAGGACGGUACCCGAAGAAUAAGCACCGGCUAACUACGUGCCAGCAGCCGCGGUAAGACGUAGGGUGCAAGCGUUGUCCGGAUUUACUGGGCGUAAAGGGCGCGUAGGCGGCUCGUUAAGUGAGAGGUGAAAGCCCCAGGCUCAACCUGGGAAUUGCUUCUCAUACUGGCGAGCUAGAGGGUUGCAGAGGCUCAUGGAAUUCCUGGUGUAGCGGUGAAAUGCGUUGAUAUCAGGAGGAACACCCAUGGCGAAGGCAGUGAGCUGGGCAACUCCUGACGCUGAGGUGCGAAAGCGUGGGUAGCAAACAGGAUUAGAUACCCUGGUAGUCCACGCCCUAAACGAUGGAUGCUAGGCGUAAGGGGUAUCGACCCCCCUUGUGCCGCAGCUAACGCACUAAGCAUCCCGCC
rnacentral:rRNA from 1 species